UUCACUCUUGCUGAUGUUGCAGAGGCUGCUGACAAUAACAUUAAACCAGAUCAAACCAAUGUAUUUUCAAUGGAAGGCAGCAACAUCUCACUGUCCUGCACAUAUACUGGAUCAGUUAACAGUCUCCACUGGUAUCGACAAAAACCUGGAUCAAGACCCGAGUUUCUGCUGCUGAUUGAUGAAAGCAGUGAAUAUGUCACUGAGGCUCAACCACCUCAUCCACGAUUGUCCAUAAAACUUAACAAAGAGCAAGAUAAAACGAGUAAGAAAGUGGAUCUGAUCAUCUCCUCUGCUGCUGUAUCAGACUCUGCUCUAUACUACUGUACCAUCCUCCUCCACCCACUGCAGCUACACCAGUUCCAUCUGCCCUGCCUACACCUCCUGCAGAUCCUGUCUCCAGCUGCUGUUGCUCAACCACUGCCACCUGCUGGAACUGCCCAAGAGACACCUUCCCGUAUCGAUUUCUCACCUGAGACCCUAUGA